ACCCUCUGUCCUCAUCCCUACGACAAGGCUAGCUCCUGCCCCCCUCUCCAUUGGUCCACUGGAGCUCAUUUAGUCUCCGAAAACCCGCCCCUCUAGGGAAGGGUGGGCUCGCCGCCUAGUCCGGGACUUGAGGUGGCCAUGCUGAGUGUGGCAGGCAGAGGUGGGUGGGGCAGUUCUCUCGAACUGCCGGGACUCUACCCUCUGGGUUCUUCUUGGUCACUGGUCUCGGGACCUAAGGAAAGAGAUCUCAUGUAGCUCAGGCUGCCCCAGCACUUGCUGUGUACCUAAGGAUGACCAGGAACCCCUGAUGCUUCUGCUGGGAUUACAGGCAUGCAUAACGAUGUUACCAAUAUUUGUUUAUCCAUUCAUUUGUUAGG
rnacentral:lncRNA from 1 species